CAGUAAUAUGCUACAAGGAUCACAGAUAUAUUUUUACCUUUGAGGGCCCCUGUUCUGAUGCUCUAGGAAGGGCUUCUCAUGGCUCAGGAUUGAUUUUUCCAUGACAGUGUCACACAGAGAUUUGGCAAGUGUGGUAUCACAGGCAACUUGGAAGGAAAGUGGGUGAUGUGCUCAGGAAAAUUGUUAGACGACUCAAAAAGUGACGACAGGCACGAAGAUAAUGUCUGGGGAAGCUCUGGAUUAAAUUGCUUCCCAGAAGGUGGAAAUGGAAAGAAAGGUUCUAUUUCUAAAUCACCAAUGCAUGUGAUUGCACUUAUUCGUCUAAAGUUUAUUUCAUAGUCAUGUCAACCAAAAUUUGGGCAGGCUGGGGAAGAAGUGUUGGGAUCUUCUUAUUGGGAAAGAGGGCUGUCUUUUUGGCGAGACACCCUUUAUUCAAACACACAUGGCAUUUAGAAGGUAAAAAAAUAAAGACUUUUAUGCUGGAAGAAGGGGCACGUCUUGCAGUGUGGGAGAGGGUUGUCAGAUGCGCUGAAGCACCCAUCUGCAUCCCGGAGCAGAGGGCGCGGCAAAGCUCAGGGAUGGGUCCAGCGCCAGACCUGAGCUCUGACCAAGGGAAUAAAAGAGAACCCAGAGCGACUGGACAAGGGGGAGGUAGGAGACGGGAGCAUUCUCUUCUCUUUGUGGGAGAAACCUCUGGCAACGUCCAUCUCGAGGUGGUGGGCAUAUCCUUAUGGUCUCUCUCCUCUUGCUGUGUGACGUGAGGUAGAUGAUCCACUUCUCUGCAUCCCUGUGACCUUAACCGUGUCCCGAAGGGCAAGAUCGAGUAAGGUGGUGUGUGCAAAGGGCUGUGUACACAGGAAGAGCUUUAUAAAAGCCCUCCCAUCUCCAUGCUGCUACUCACCAGCUCCACUGUGGGUGAACAUUAUCUCCAUAACUGACUCUGAGAAGUAGGGGUGACACUUGCCCCCAUAAAAGGUGACUUCAUGACAAAAAGAAGCUCGGCUUCCUCAGUACGGUAUCUUACAGCAGAAGUUAGACAAAAGUGAGAAGAACCUUCAUUAAAGUCUUUGUUUUUUGUUUUUUUUUUCGUCGUUUUGAGGGCCACACCAGCAGCAUAUGGAGGUUCCCAGGCUAGGGGUCGAAUCGGAGCUGUAGCUGCCAGCCUACAUCAGAGCCACAGCAACCCCAUAUCCAAGCCGCACCUGCGACCAGCACCACAGUUCAUGGCAACGCUGGAUCCUUAACCCACUGAGCGAGGCCAGGGAUCGAACCCGCAACCUCAUGGUUCCUAGUCGGAUUCAUUUCUGCUGCACCAUGAUGGGAACUCCGUGAUUUUUAAUUUCAGAAAUCCUUGUUCUACCUUAGCUUUGGUUUUUUGUUUUGUUUUGUUUUCUUUUCAUGCUGCACCUGCAGCAUAUGGAAGUUGCCGGGCUAGGGGUCAAAUGAGAGCUGCACCUGAGGCCUACACCACAGCCACAGCAACACAGGAUCCAAGCCUCAUCUGCAACCUACAUCAAAGCUUUUGGCAACCCCUGAUCCUUUAACCCACUGAGGGAGGCCAGGGAUUGAACCUGCAUUCUCACGGAUGCUUGACCCACUGAGCCACAGUGGGCACUCCUUUUUUUUUUUCUUUUCUUUGCUUUUUUUUUUUAAAACCUUAGCUUUGGAUGGGGGGGAGGUAUCAAGGCUAGUCCUUUGAGGAAAAGUUCUGUGGGAUUAAGAGCUGUCAUAUCACUUCUCAGGACAGUGUCUCAUGGGAUCCUCCAAAAAAAACCGCCUGUGCUGCAGGAGUGGGGGAGGGAGGUUAUCACUGAUUUUACAGAUGAGGAAGGCUGAGUCACAGAGCAGAUAUGUGAUUUAUCCCAUACAGGCAGGCCUGGGACUAGACAACAGGCUCAUUCCAUAAUCUUGUCAAAGUGGACACAGGUUUCUUCUGGAAAGUAGCUGAACAGCUCCCCUCCCCCCACCGGAUCCCUGCAGAAGGCGUCAGUGGGGACCUUAACGUGAGAAAUUAAGUCAGGCUAAAGGAAGAACCUUGGUGUCUGGGUGACUAAAGCCAUGUUUGAAAUCGGGCUUCCUAUCACUUCUUUUUUUUUUUUUAAACACUACAAACAAGUGAAGUUUAUUCUGGAAAUGCAAGCAUAUCACUUCUGAUGGUUUCUAAGCUUUGCCAAACUUCGGUUGGAUGGUUGCUUGGUUGGAUGGUUGCUUGGUUGCUUGGUUGGAUGGUUGCUUGCCAGGGGGAAAAAACAUGUAAAUAUAGAGUGGUCAUCUUCUUGACUAUUCCUUUGGAAUUUUAUUUGUUUACAAACUCAUCUUGCCGCCUUUUGGAGGAUUUUCUCUAGGCCAUUGAAGUUCGAAUCUGUCAAGGCUAGAAGUGUUUGUAUUCUUGUGGAAACACAGCUCUUUUAAAUCCAUUGUUUUAAAAGUCACUUGGAGCAUUAAAAACCUCAGGUCAUCAAUUCCUAGUGUGAAAAUUUAGGAGUGAUUGGGGCUUCAGGCAAGCAAUAUCGACUUAAAUGUGUAGAGCACUUUAAGAGAGCAUUUGAUUGUACAUCUUAAAACAAGGAAUGCAAAUUGAAAUUCCUCCUGGGUGCUUUAACUCAUGCAUUAUAUGUGCAGUAUUUUCAAUUAGCUGCAGAAAAAAAGUACAUUUGAGUGUGGGUCUGUUUUUACAGCUGGGAAUUGCUCUGAGAACACAAUUGACUAUUUCAUACAGGUGAGAUUUAUUUAAAUGACUCAUGGGGCAUUUGCAGUUUAACCCAUAAUUGAAAAUAUUGUUGCAAUGUGGCAGGUAAAAGUAGGAAGUCAUUUUGCAUUCCUGAGGAGGUACUCCCAGCUCAGUAGAGGGAAGUGGACAGGAAGUGAAAACUGAGUUGAGGUUCUCUCCUUCACAUUUCAUUCCCCAGCUGUGCCUUGCCAGGGAAAGAAAGAGAACACUCUGCUGCCAGAGGAUGCCAUGGUACGGUGCUCUUAGCAAAGACCCAAAAGUUCUCUUGUCUCUCCUGUUUUCAUGUACCGGACACAUGUGGAAGACCAAAUCAGAGGUGCAGGGCCCCAUCCUUCCCCCAACUCUCUGCUUCCCCACUGUUCUUUGCCUCCUGUUUCACAUGAGCCAUCACAUUGAUACAGAAAGCUUGGUUGACUCUCUUAGGAUGGACCAACCAGCCCUGCCGUAUUGGCUCAUAAUUGUUCCUGGGGAUUCGGAAUGCAUGUUUCCACAGAAAUGAUGUUGCCAAUGGUGGUUAGGCAAAUAACACUGUGUCAAAAUGCAUUCUUGCUCCUGUGAUUCAGCCAGAGCAUGGGUUAAUUAGGCAUUUUGUGGGCAGAAUUAAAGUCUUAAUCACCGGCUUUUAAUUUUUCUCUGGAUCAGUGGUUGUCAACCAGGGGCAGCCCCCCUCCCCCACCAAGAACAUUAGUCAACAUCUACAGACAUUUGGUUCUCACAACUGGGUGAGUGAUGCUACUGGCAUCUGGUGGGUAGAGGCCAAUGGUACUGCUAAGCAUCCUACAAUCCACAAGGCAGCUCCUACCACACAGAACUAGAGACCCUGGGAAAUUCUAGAAUUUCCUAUUAAAAAAAAAAAAAAAGAAAGAAAAGAAAAGAAAGAAAUGACUUCCCAAAAUUCUUUAGAUCACAGCCCACUUGUAAGACGCUGCCUUCUAUAAUGGACAUCAGUACGUGAGGUGAAUCCUGGUGACUGCCGAAGCCCUGGCAUCUUCAUGGAUGCCUUGGUUAUGCAGAGCACCUUGGUGUCCUGUGUGCCAUGUUGGAUGCUGGGGAAGCAUGGAGAAAAGGUCCCUGCCCUUCCCAAAGGCACAGAGAGACAGAGAGGUGACAAAUGUCAUCAGAAGGGGCAUGAAUAUGGAGGCCAAGGGCUGCAAAGAGCCUGGCAGGGUCUGUGAACUGCCAGGGGGAAAGUAGCUAUAGAAGGAAGCCAGAUCCAGACUGGGGACUGGGCUGAUCAGGUUGUGGGCUGUGGGAGGGUAAGAGCUCAGAAAAGCCAUUGCAGGUUGGAUGCAGGUCUUGGCGCUGAGGGUCAGGGUCCACCCCUCCUAUCAGCCUGGUCACUGGGCAGUGCACACAGGGGGUUGGGUGUAGGAAAUGCACGUCCUCUUCCAGGAAUGCCAGUGGUUCAGUGGGCACAAAGGAGGCAGAAAGAAUAGACAUUCACGAACCAUCUGGGAAGCAGAAGGACGGAGCUUGAUGGUUAAAUGUGGGCAGGGUGAGGGUGGAGGAGGACUCCCAGCCUUACUGCUGAGAUUCUUGGGUGGACGUGGAGCUGCACCCACUCAGAUGGAGAAACUGGGGGAACAGCACAUUCAGAGAGGAGAAGUACUCUUUCCUCCCAUUGUAGAAUUUCUAAGAAAAUGGGUAACGGGACUUGUUUAUGUCUUUCCACCCAGUGUUUCUUUAGACUCUGUUCUGUUAGCCAGAAUCUCAGCUAUUUCUCCUGGAUUACUAUGUCUUCCUUCCAGUUACCAUCGUGAGAGUGAAACUGACAGCAGAACGGGGAUUGGGACUUGAAUCCCCAUGCCAGCACUCAAACCCAGCCUAAACCGAGAUUGGGACUCGAACCCACGGUUUUUAAUUUACAAUCAUUCACCUGAUGUCUGGACUUCUUGAGGUUUAGGUUCUUUGUGUCGCAGUGCAGAAGGAAUUCAGCAGGAGACAAAGUGAUAGGCAAGAAGUAGAUUUAUUAAGAUAGGACCUUGCGAGAGAUGCAAGCGGGCCAGAAAGGAGGCUCUGCCCCCAGGAUGAGGUGGGCUUCAGUUUUAUAGUCCUAGGGAGUGAGGGUGGGAAAAUACCACCUCUUCCUCUUUCUUUGAGUAGUGGCUCCACCUUGGUAAUUGGUAAGAGAGUAUUUGACCCUCUAAGGUCAAACUAGGACUGUCAUGGUGCUUAUUCAAAUCAGCCGAAGGGCAGUCCUUUAAUUCCUGCCCUUGAUCUGACCCUGAAUACUGGCCUCACCCCGCCCCCACCCAAUGACCUGAGGCGUACCUCCGCUAAUCAAGCGAGCCUGCCUUGUUCUGAUGGCCUCUUGAGCAAUUAUUAACGGACAGUGAUCUCCCAAAGUCCCUCUCUAUGGUCCCUUAUUGGGACUUCCACAGCUACCUGUGCAACUGUUCUACUCCAUCCCUGUCAAUAAGCCUUCCAGUGUGCCUCAGAAUCAUUUCUCAAUGGUCUCCUUGAGCAAUCAUUAAGCAUUUUUCUGGAUUAGAUGUUUCCUCCAUCAUAAGCUAAUAAACCAGUGACAAGGUUCGGCUUUUCCAUAGGGACUUCUGAGAUGGGCUUACCUGACCUGGCUGUACUAACUCUUAUUAAAUUGUGUUAGUCUGGAGUUCCCAUCGUGGCUCAGUGGUUAAUGAAUCCGACUAGGAACGAUGAGGUUGUGGGUUUGAUCCCUGGCCUCACUCAGUGGGUUAAGGAUCCGGCGUUGCCAUGAGCUGUGGUGUAAGUGGCAGAUGUGGCUUGGAUCCCGCAUUGCUGUGGCUCUGGCAUAGGCCGGCAGCUACAUCUCCGAUUAGACCCCUAGCCUGGGAACCUCCAUACGCUGCUGGUGCGGCCCUAGAAAAGACCAAAAAAUAAAUAAAUAUAAAUAAAUAAAUCAUGUUAGUCAAAUCCUGUCCUGUUUCAUUUUCAGCUGGUAGGAAGCACUUUUCCUUGGUCAUGAGCCUGGCACUUGUAGAAGAAGCACCAGGAAGAUCACCAGAGCCUGGCACCUGUUUUCUAAGUCACUCAAUGACCAUCAGUCUUUUCCUGACCCCGUCACCAGGGCCACUCAAGGUGGCUGUCCAGGGUCUGGCUGCUGACCCCAGGAGGACCAGGCCACCUAGGUCACAGGGUUUCAGAACGUUGCAUCCCUCCUGUGGCUAAGCAAUGAAGGAAAUGGCUCACAACUGAAUGAAAGAUCUUGAGUAAAGAGAAAAGACAGCUUUAAAAAUUCCCCUUAGUUUUCAGAAAUUGGAAUUUGAGGAUAUUUUGCAGUUGGGGAACUGUUGGGAUGGACUGGCGUGUAGACCUUAAGAGGCUGAGGAGAGACCCCCAAAGACCCCCCCCCACCCAGGCCCCCAUGAUAAUGGCAGUAAUGGCAGCUUGGUUGAGCCCUUAGUGUUCAAGAACUGUCCAAAGAACUUGAGAUGUAGCACCCUUUUUUAUUCCUCACAACAGCCCAUAAGCAGGGAUGACUGUUCUUCAUUGUACAGAUGAAGAAACUAGACACAGUGAAGUUCAGUACUUGUCAAGAGUCAUAGAGUGAUUGCUGGGGGACCUGGUUAUAUUAUAACUGGAGUGGUUUAUCUCGGAAGCCUGCAGAGACCAAAAAUCCUAACAACUGGUACCCUCUGGAAACAAUUAAUUACGAAAAGGCACAAUUAUGCAAAAAUGUAUUUUUAAUCUUUUUUUCAGAAUAUUGACAUUUUGAGUGUGCUUGCAAUAUUAGGAAAAGAAUUAAAUAAAAAGAUCUGUCUCAAGGUGCAUUUGUUUGCUGAUUAAAAUUUUAAAAUAGGGGUUUUUUAUUUUAAGGUAGUUGUAGAUUCACACGCAAGUUACAAAACACAAUAGAGAUCCCACAGACCCUUCACCCAGUUUCCCCAAAGGUAUCAUCUUGCACAACCAGAGUUCACAGCAAUAAAGAAACCACAGCUAGGACAGUGACAUUGUACAAUCCAUCCACCUUAUUCAGAUUUCAGCAGUUUUACUCAUGUGUGUACACGUGCGCAUGCUCUGUGUGUGUGUGUGUGUGUGUGUGUACUUCUUUCUAUGCAGUUUCAUCGUGUCGUAGAUUUGUGUCACCAUCACAGUCAGGACACAGAACCAUUCCAUCACCACGACCCCUCAUGUCAGCUGUUUAUGGUCACAUCCACCCACCUCCCUCCCAGCCUCCCCAAUUCCUGGCUACCACUAGUAUGUCCUCCAUCUGUAUAAUUUUUGUGAUUUUGUAAUCAUACAGCCUGGAGCCUUUUGUAGUUGACUUUUUUCGGUCGGCGUAAUUCCCUUGAGACCCAUUCCAGUUGGCAUGUAUUUAAAUAGCUUGCCCCUUCUUACUGCUGACUAGCGUUCCAUGGUAUGGCUGUAACAUGGUGUAUUUGACCAGUCCCUCACUGAAGGACGUAUGGGUUGUUUCCAGUUUGGGGGCUGUUACAAAUAACACUGCUAAAAACACAGGUGCAGGUUUCUGUAUGCAAAUGAGUUUCCAUUUCUCUGAGAUAAAUGUCCAAGUUUGCUGGAUCGUAUGGUUAAAUGCAUGUAAGAAACUGCCAAACUGCUCUCCGGAAUGGCUCUACCAUUUUACAUUUCCACCAGCAGUGUGAAUGGUCCAGUUUCUCUGCAUCUUGUCCAGUAUUUGGCAUUGCCGCUGGUUUUUACUUUAGCCAUGCUGAUAGGCUUGUAGUGACAGCCCAUAGUGUUUUUAAUUUGCAUUUCCCUAGAGUUACCACUGGGGCACAGUGGUUUAAGAAUCCAGCUGCAGCAUCUUGAGUUACUGCAGAGGCGUGGGUUCAAUCCCUGGCCCAGUGCAGUGAGUCAGAGGAUCCAGCAUUGCUACUACAGCUUGGAUUCAGUCCCUGGCCUGGGGACUUCCAUAUGCCACAAGUGUGGCCAUUAUAAAAAAAAAAAAAA
ensembl:lncRNA